UUUUAGAUUUUACAAAAGAUAAUAUUGGUGAUAAAAUUUUACAAGUUCUCUUGCAUAAUAAUAGCAAGAAGGAAUAGUGAAUCGCAGCAGAAAGGAAGAAAUUGUCUUGUUCUCAACCGCCGCCGCCAACCGGUUCGUCCAUUUCAUUCGAGUUUUCAAAGUUUUCUCCGCCGUUAAUGGGACUGGCUGUUGUAUUGCGAAAAGAAAAGGUGGCGGAGGGAUGGCAGCGGUAGAAGGAAGGAAGAGGAGAAUGGCAUGGCACCGUGCAUUCUUCGUAGACUGGGUACACAGAGACACGCGGUGUUUCGAGGAAUCGAUCGAGAAAUAUCGAUCCCUGCCACGUCCACUGACCUGGGCCAAGUGUUGUUUCGUCACGAGGAUUCGAUGCUGCUUAGAAGUAUCACGAUAACAGUCUACUCUGUACUCUUAGAAUUAAAAAAAAAAAAAAAAAAAAACUGAAAUUUAAAAAGAGUACGAUACACACAUUCGUCAACUUAAUAAUAAUAAAUGUGUAA